rnacentral:rRNA from 1 species
GACGAACGCUGGCGGCGUGCUUAACACAUGCAAGUCGAACGAUGAACCCGGAGCUUGCUCCGGUGGAUUAGUGGCGAACGGGUGAGUAACACGUGAGUAACCUGCCCUUGACUCUGGGAUAACUGCGGGAAACUGUAGCUAAUACCGGAUACGACCCUCGGCGGCAUCGCCAGGGGGUGGAAAGAAUUUCGGUCAAGGAUGGACUCGCGGCCUAUCAGCUAGUUGGUGAGGUAACGGCUCACUAAGGCGACGACGGGUAGCCGGCCUGAGAGGGUGACCGGCCCCACUGGGACUGAGAUACGGCCCAGACUCCUACGGGAGGCAGCAGUGGGGAAUAUUGCACAGUGGGCGCAAGCCUGAUGCAGCGACGCCGCGUGAGGGAUGACGGCCUUCGGGUUGUAAACCUCUUUCAGCACAGACGAAGCGCAAGUGACGGUAUGUGCAGAAGAAGGACCGGCCAACUACGUGCCAGCCGCCGCAGUAA